CCUACGGGAGGCAGCAGUGAGGAAUAUUGGUCAAUGGCCGGAAGGCUGAACCAGCCAAGUCGCGUGAGGGACGACUGCCCUAUGGGUUGUAAACCUCUUUUAUAAGGGAAGAAUAAAUGCUACGUGUAGCAUGAUGCCUGUACCUUAUGAAUAAGCAUCGGCUAACUCCGUGCCAGCAGCCGCGGUAAUACGGAGGAUGCGAGCGUUAUCCGGAUUUAUUGGGUUAAAGGGGUGCGUAGGCGGUUUUUUAAGUUAGUGGUUAAACGUCGGGGCUUCACCUUGAUUUGCCAUUAAUACGGUGAGAAACGAGUUCAGACGAGGUCGGCGGAAUAAGUUAAGUGGCGGUGAACUGCUGAGAGAUAAGUUAGAACUCCAGUAGCGAAGGCAGAUUACCAGACGGCGACUGACGCUGAGGCACGAGAGCGUGGGUAGCGAACAGGAUUAGAUACCCUAGUAGUC
rnacentral:rRNA from 1 species